UUUUUCGGCUUUUUGGCUAAGUGUUGUUCAGUUUCGCAAACAGGGCGAUAACUCGGUCUCCGUAUGUCGGAAUCGAGUACCGUCAGUUGUAACGCGUGCCUAAUACCUACGCGGUGCUGUGUGUGUGUUUGCGUGGCGUUCGGACGGACGAUGCGGGUUUCGGGCUCUUUUUCGGCUUUUUGGCUAAGUGUUGUUCAGUUUCGCAAACAGGGCGAUAACUCGGUCUCCGUAUGUCGGAAUCGAGUACCGUCAGUUGUAACGCGUGCCUAAUACCUACGCGGUGCUGUGUGUGUGUUUGCGUGGCGUUCGGACGGACGAUGCGGGUUUCGGGCUCUUUUUCGGCUUUUUGGCUAAGUGUUGUUCAGUUUCGCAAACAGGGCGAUAACUCGGUCUCCGUAUGUCGGAAUCGAGUACCGUCAGUUGUAACGCGUGCCUAAUACCUACGCGGUGCUGUGUGUGUGUUUGCGUGGCGUUCGGACGGACGAUGCGGGUUUCAGGAUCUUUUUCGGCUUUUUGCCUAAGUGUUGUUCAAUUUCGCAAACAGGGCGAUAACUCGGUCUCCGUAUGUCGGAAUCGAGUACCGUCAGUUAUAACGCGUGCCUAAUACCUACGUGGUGCUGUGUGUGUCUAAUGGUGUUAGGGUUUUAUCUUAUGUUUAUCUAAGCAAUACAAUUAAAAAUUACAUAAAUUAAAUAAGGAAAUACAGAAUUUAAUUAUUUUUAC
rnacentral:lncRNA from 1 species